UACGAAGGGGGCUAGCGUUGUCCGGAAUCAUUGGGCGUAAAGAGCGCGUAGGCGGCCCUGUAAGUCCGCUGUGAAAGUCAAGGGCUCAACCCUUGAAUGCCGGUGGAUACUGCAGGGCUAGAGUCCGGAAGAGGCGAGUGGAAUUCCUGGUGUAGCGGUGAAAUGCGCAGAUAUCAGGAGGAACACCAAUGGCGAAGGCAGCUCGCUGGGACGGUACUGACACUGAGACGCGAAAGCGUGGGGAGCAAACAGG
rnacentral:rRNA from 1 species